GACGCACAGCCAACAACAAUGGUUUGCAUGUCCUGCACGAAGGACCCUAUCAUGCGGAAUAUGCUGAUGGAGUUCGUUGGUCCCCAGUGGUGAGUCUCGGCUCCUAUGAAAAGGACACGCCAUCGCGAGGCCUCUGAUAGUGACCCAAGUUACUGCCCUGAUGACACAGGCAGUUUGCAGCCGAACAUGCAGCAUAGAGAUGACCAGCAAGGGGGCCCUCAUCAGCAUCAUGCAGACAUGUCCUCGCUGUGAUCAUUCCUAUGAAUGCAACAGUCAGCCGCAUGUUGGCGAGUAUCCAGGCAGCAACCUUCACCUGUCAGCGGCAACAGCUUCCACAGGCUCAUCAUUUUUACAAAUACAGAAGUGUCUUUGAUGAGGGGCCAGGAGCUGAUCUACCCUCCUAUGCCCAUCAAUAUGAGUCGAGCAAAGACCUUACCUCCAGCCUCACCUCUUGCCUGGUCACCAACGGUCGUCGAUGGGGAGAACAGAAUUAG